rnacentral:rRNA from 1 species
UACGGGGGGGCGAAGCGUUGUUCGGAAUUACUGGGCGUAAAGGGCUCGUAGGCGGCCAACUAAGUCGGACGUGAAAUCCCCUCGGCUUAACCGGGGAACGUGCGUCCGAAUACUGGAUGGCUUUGAGUGUGGGAGAGGGAUGCGGAAUCCAGGUGUAGCAGGUGAAAUGCGUAGAUAUCUGGAGGACACCGGUGGCGAAGGCGGCA